rnacentral:rRNA from 1 species
GGUGAGUAACACGUAGAUAACCUGCCCUCAAGACGGGGACAACCGGUGGAAACAGCGGCUAAUACCCGAUAUGCUCACAGGAUCGGGAGAUCGAGUGAGGAAAGCGCCCCUUCGGGGGAGAGUGUUUGAGGAGGGAUCUGCGGCCCAUCAGCUAGUUGGUGAGGUAACGGCUCACCAAGGCGAAGACGGGUAGGGGGUGUGAGAGCAUGGCCCCCCACAAUGGGACUGAGACACGGCCCAUACUCCUACGGGAGGCAGCAGCGGGGAAUAUUGCGCAAUGGACGGAAGUCAGACGCAGCGACGCCGCGUGGGUGAGGAAGGCCUUCGGGUUGUAAAGCCCUUUUCAGGGGAGCGAGAAAGGACGGUACCCUUGGAAUAAGCGUCGGCUAACUACGUGCCAGCAGCCGCGGUAAGACGUAGGACGCAAGCGUUAUCCGGAUUUACUGGGCGUAAAGCGCCUGUAGGCGGUCAAGUAAGUCGGAUGUGAAAGCCCCGUGCUCAACGCGGGGAAGCCAUUCGAUACUGCGUGACUAGAGAACGGCAGAGGGAAACGGAAUUUCUGGUGUAGCGGUAAAAUGCGCAGAGAUCAGAAAGAACACCGAUGGCGAAGGCAGUUUCCUAGGCCGCAUCUGACGCUGAGAGGCGAAAGCUAGGGGAGCAAACAGGAUUAGAGACCCUGGUAGUCCUAGCUGUAAACGAUGGAUGCUAGGUGUGGGCCGGAAAGGUCCGUGCCGUAGUUAACGCGAUAAGCAUCCCGCCUGGGGAGUACGGCCGCAAGGCUAAAACUCAAACGAAUUGACGGGGACCCGCACAAGCAGCGGAGCGUGUGGUUUAAUUCGAUGCUACACGCAGAACCUUACCUGGGCUUGACAUGUAGGUGGUAGUGAAGUGAAAGCGGAGCGACCCUUCGGGGAGCCUACACAGGUGCUGCAUGGCUGUCGUCAGCUCGUGCCGUGAGGUGUCGGGUUAAGUCCUGUAACGAGCGCAACCUUUUUCGUUAGUUACAAGUGUGUAAGGAGACUGCCGGUGACAAACCGGAGGAAGGUGGGGACGACGUCAAGUCAG